UGGGGAAUAUUGCGCAAUGGGGGAAACCCUGACGCAGCGACGCCGUGUGAGGGAAGAAGGCUUUCGGGUCGUAAACCUCUGUCAGGAAGGAAGAACCUCUCAAGGCUGAACAAGCCUUGGGACUGACGGUACUUCCAGAGGAAGCACCGGCUAACUCCGUGCCAGCAGCCGCGGUAAUACGGAGGGUGCAAGCGUUAAUCGGAAUCACUGGGCGUAAAGCGCGCGUAGGCCGUCUUUUAAGUCGGACGUGAAAGCCCUCGGCUCAACCGGGGAACUGCGUUCGAUACUGGGAGACUUGAGUCCUGGAGAGGGUGGCGGAAUUCCGGGUGUAGGAGUGAAAUCCGUAGAUAUCCGGAGGAACACCAGUGGCGAAGGCGGCCACCUGGACAGGUACUGACGCUGAGGCGCGAAAGCGUGGGGAGCAAACA
rnacentral:rRNA from 1 species